UGCAAGUACUUUGUUUAGCAUGGAGGU
rnacentral:piRNA from 1 species